ACUCCCACCCCGCCCCAGACACUUGUCCUCCCCCAAGCACCCAUAGUGCACGCGUGGGUCGGGUCGUGGGCAGGACCCCUCAAAUCACCUGGCCCUUCACGAGGACCCUUGGGCUGUGCACGCGUGGGCGGGGGCAGGACCCCCCCCCCCCCCAUACAGACACCUGUCCUUCUUGAGGACCCUUGGGCUGUGCCUGGGCAGGGCCCCUGGGCCACAGACCACCCCCCAGAGCACCGCCUCUUCCUUCCAGUACUGGUCCAGCCUGCAGGCAGGUCCUGGCCCCUCAGGAGGUCAGCUGCUCUCAGACCCGCCAGGGCUUGGGCCUUAGGAAAUGCAGCGAGUUCACACGUUUCCCAGCCAAUUUUCAGAGGCAACGAGUAGUGCUCUGAGAGACACAAGCGCGCCUUCUGCUUCCGCCCCCCAAUGCAGAGCGCGUCCUAGGCUUUCCAGCCUUCGCAGACUUUGAGUCCAUCUGUGGUGGAAAACCGGCGCACGCUGGGUUCCGCAGGGAAGCGUCCAGCCUGGACGGGAAGGUCGCCCCCGUGCUGUUGGACUUGUUAACCAGCGGCGCCUGUUUCAUGAUUUACAAAGAAACGCACUAUUGUUACCGUGACCACUGAAGGGAGGGACUGGGGACCCAGGUGUCUUUAACCAGACUACGAAGAAACCGAACUCACGGCUGGAGGAUGUUCCCUGGUACACGGGCCUCACAGAUAUUAAGAAAGGCGUAUUAAAAUCUUCAAACAUGCUAUUCUAUUCAACAUUGUAUUGGAGAAUCUACCCAGUGUUAUAAGAUGACCAAUGGGGCGCGUGUGUGGACGGGCUAACUGGGCCCGGAUCCCAUCAGCUGCGCCACCCACGCAUGUUGGCCAGUGGAAGACGGCCGUCAGGAGAGCAGGAGAAGGGAGAUGGUCACGUGGACCCCCCAGCAGGGACGUGGCCUUCUCUCCACAUGCCCUUCGCAGUGCUGGCCCGACACAGCGGCACUUCCCACCCCGCCCACCGGUGCCCCCUUGGAUGGAUGGCGGGCCAA